UACAGAGGUGGCAAGCGUUGUUCGGAAUUACUGGGCGUAAAGGGCGCGUAGGCGGCCUUCUAAGUCAGACGUGAAAUCCCCCGGCUCAACCGGGGAAUUGCGCUUAAAACUACUGUGCUAGAGGAAGACAGAGGUGAGCGGAACUUCGGGUGGAGCGGUGAAAUGCGUUGAUAUCCGAAGGAACACCGGUGGCGAAAGCGGCUCACUGGGUCUUUUCUGACGCUGAUGCACGAAAGCUAGGGGAGCAAACGGG
rnacentral:rRNA from 1 species